CCAGUGCCCUGAAGGAUAGGGUCCUGCAAAGAAAAAUGGCAAAUGCUGUGAUGGAGGUCUGCAGGGCAACUAGGGUGGGAGCACAAAGUGGGGAUGACCCAUCUAAGCUUAAAGAGGUCAGCAAAGGUGCUAAGAAUGUAGAAGAAGGUGAUGAGUGAAUUGAGGUGUCAAGGAAGUACAGAAGUUGUUCAGGCUGACUGAAGUGGGCAGGGGAAAUAGCUGGCGAAAAGAAAAAGAGGUUCAAGCCAGGUGGCAACUUCAGUUACAGACAGCACAACCUAUACUAUGGCUAUGG
rnacentral:lncRNA from 1 species